rnacentral:rRNA from 1 species
ACGAACGCUGGCGGCGUGCUUAACACAUGCAAGUCGAACGGAAAGGCCCUGCUUUUGUGGGGUGCUCGAGUGGCGAACGGGUGAGUAACACGUGAGUAACCUGCCCUUGACUUUGGGAUAACUUCAGGAAACUGGGGCUAAUACCGGAUAGGAGCUCCUGCUGCAUGGUGGGGGUUGGAAAGUUUCGGCGGUUGGGGAUGGACUCGCGGCUUAUCAGCUUGUUGGUAGGGUAGUGGCUUACCAAGGCUUUGACGGGUAGCCGGCCUGAGAGGGUGACCGGCCACAUUGGGACUGAGAUACGGCCCAGACUCCUACGGGAGGCAGCAGUGGGGAAUAUUGCACAAUGGGCGGAAGCCUGAUGCAGCAACGCCGCGUGCGGGAUGACGGCCUUCGGGUUGUAAACCGCUUUCGCCUGUGACGAAGCGUGAGUGACGGUAAUGGGUAAAGAAGCACCGGCUAACUACGUG